rnacentral:rRNA from 1 species
GAAACUCCUGCUAAUACCGCAUAGCCAUGAGCACCGCAUGGAGCUCAUGCCAAAUAUCCUUUCGGGGAUAGCGCAGGGAUGGACCUAUGGCGCAUUAGCUUGUUGGCGGGACAACGGCCCACCAAGGCAACGAUGCGUAGCCGGCCUGAGAGGGCGGACGGCCACAUUGGGACUGAGACACGGCCCAGACUCCUACGGGAGGCAGCAGUAGGGAAUUUUCGGCAAUGGGGGAAACCCUGACCGAGCAACGCCGCGUGAGCGAAGAAGGCCUUCGGGUCGUAAAGCUCUGUUGUAAAGGAAGAACGGCGCAUACAGGAAAUGGUAUGCGAGUGACGGUACUUUACCAGAAAGCCACGGCUAACUACGUGCCAGCAGCCGCGGUAAUACGUAGGUGGCGAGCGUUAUCCGGAAUCAUUGGGCGUAAAGAGGGAGCAGGCGGCCGCAAGGGUCUGUGGUGAAAGACCGAAGCUAAACUUCGGUAAGCCAUGGAAACCGGGCGGCUAGAGUGCGGAAGAGGAUCGUGGAAUUCCAUGUGUAGCGGUGAAAUGCGUAGAUAUAUGGAGGAACACCAGUGGCGAAGGCGACGGUCUGGGCCGCAACCGACGCUCAUUCCCGAAAGCGUGGGGAGCAAAUAGGAUUAGAUACCCUAGUAGUCCACGCCGUAAACGAUGGUCACUAAGUGUCGGGGGUCAAACCCCGGUGCU